UACGCACGCUUAAUAGCCUUUCAAGGUGAUUACCAUAGGAAGCGGGGAUUGGGAGAUGUUAGUGUUAUGAAUAUAUAAAUAUUUAAACCCUUUGUAGAUAAAUACACUCUGGAAUUGCUUGUAACUUUGCAGUGCGUUUUAGGGAACUACCCCACGCAGCUGGGAUAAACAUCCACGUUCUUACUCUAAACUGUUAGAGAGUCUUUCGUCCGUCAUAGCUGGAUAUCGAUGUUAGAUGGAUAUCCAUAUUUAAUAAAUCAUUUGGUUCCGGUUUUAUUUGCGGUUUAGAAGCGGCACGGUGUUUUGCAGCUGGAGGCAUCGGCCGCAAGUUUUGGUGGCCGGGUGGUCCCAUCUCGGACCGCGGGGUACGGUAAAAACCAAGUCCCUAGCCGCGGAGGAGUGAGGCGGGUUCGUGAGCUCGGAGCUGCCCCCAUCCCGGAGGGAUUCGUGUUGUGCCUCGGCCCAACUCCGCCGGAUUUGUGAAUAUUCAGCACAAGGAAUAGAAGAUACAGGGAGCGGGAACCCAGCUCGAAGGAACUUCCCUGUCCAAGAGGGAGCUGUGACUGCCACCCGCUGGUUGUGUUCUGUUGUGGAGCUUGCCAAGAGUUUUGGGUCAGAUGAGUAUUUGGGUGGAGGAUACCUAGAAGGGGAAUUUGUGAUCUUUGCCGUACAGAGGAACAAAAGGCUACCCAGAUAGCUAUACGGAUUUUAUUGGUGCCUGGUCAAGAGGCACACACAUUAGAGAACGGGAUUUCAGGAGCCCUACAGAAACCAGCAGACAUCCUUAGGGUUGAGUGUGCUCAGUACCUUUAUAGCAUAUUACUAGCAGGUGAAGUUUUGGAGUUGGGACAAGAUUAAAAAGCGUUGGCAGAAGAGGAAGUCUCAGCGUGGGAGCAAGCGAGAGCAAACAGAUUCCUAACGUUAGCCCCUUGGGAUGUAUCUUGGCACACUGGAAAGAGCUGGUGGGCUAUGGUGGCACAGAAACCAAGAAGGAGCUUGUUAAGUUUUGCACGCGAUUGUGGCCACUUUAUAGACUUGAAGAGGGGGUGAAAUGACCAUCAGCUGGGACGGUUGACUAUGAAACUUUAUUACAGUUAAUGCUUUUUCUUAGGCGUGAACAGAAGCGGCAGGAGGCUACUUAUGCUGAUAUGUUUUUCACCCUUCAGAAACACCCUGAGUGGCAAAGGGAUUGUGGGAUUAGGCCACCCUCUGACCCCUUCGUACUGACUCUGGAAAAGGAUUAUAAAGCUAACCAGGGAAAGCUCAAGCGGUGUUGUAGUGCAUGUUCAAUAAACCAAAGAUGCAUACAUCCUGACAAGGCAUACCAAACAGAGGCUUCCCCACCAACUCCCAAACCACAAGAGCCAACCCGACUGUACCCGCCGUUACCUCCCAGUGAUUGUGGGGAGGAAGGGCCCUCCCCACAGGGUCCUAUAGCAUCAAGGACCCAGAAACAAACUAGAGAGGUCAUACAAGCACCUCUGUGGGAAGCAGUAACCCCUAAAGGGACGAUAAUGCUGAUUAGAGUUCCCUUUUCUACGCAGGAUCUGGAGGCCUGGGAAAAGAUUGCUAAGAGGUAUCAGUGAUCCAACAGGUGUUGCUAGGAGAUUGAGGUUUAUGAUUAAACAGCAUAAUCCCGAUUGGGAUGACAUGCAGGUACUGCUUGAUGCUUUAACAGAGACAGAGAAGCAAAUGGUUUUGAAAGUAGCUAAGGACCUGGCCAAGGAUGUUUGUAGAAGAACACAGGAGCACAUUAAGGAUGUACUUCCCCUUCAGGAUCCACGUUGGGACCGUAAGCCGGAGGGAUUAGGUCAGCUAAGCAGAUACCAAGAAUUGAUAGUGAAGGGGCUGGAAAGAGCCAUCCCUAGGCCAUCCCUAGGCCAUCCCUGUAUGCUAUUAAACAGGGUCCCUCUCAAACACCUACUGAAUUUCUAGAUCAGUUGCGAGAGGCAAUGCGUUUGCAUACCGCCUUGGAUCCUCAAUCUGAUGAAGGAACACUAUACUUGGUGAACUUGUUUGUAGGGCAGUCUACAGGAGACAUCAGGAGAGAGCUUCAGAAGAUCCAGGGCCCAGCAAGCCGGGACUUAGAGACUUUGCUGGAUGAAGCAUGGAGAGUUUUCAGCAGUCGGGAAGAGAGAUAUAAACAGGGCAUAAGGAAAUUAGUAGUAAGAGUGAGGGAGGAAGAAAAGGGAAAACGUGGGCAAGGACCACCCUGACUGGGAAAAGACGAAUGUGCAUUUUGCAAGGAAUUUGGACACUGGAAGAACCAGUGUCCAGAACGAAGGAGAGAUGACAAACAGAGAAGAGAUGAUCGAGGAGAAAGGUGGUUGCUUAUGUAAAGGAGAACUGAAGAGGACCCUGGGGGACCCUCUGGUUGUAGUCAAACUAGGGAGCAAAGAGGAAGAGAUAGAAUUUUUCGUAGACACAGGGGCAACAUAUUUGGUGUUCAAUAAGGCUCUAAUACCUAUAAAAAAUUAUUGCAUUAUGGUAAGGGGGGCAACUGGCCAAUCUGAAAGAGCCAAUUUUUGCAAACCACUGAAGUAUAAAUUGGGGAAACAGUGAGGAAUUAAUUGAUUUUUGUACAUGCCUAAAAUGCUCCAUCUGCACUUUUGGGCAGGGAUCUGCAAGAGCAGCUGGAAGCAAAAGUAAUACUUAAAAAUGGGGAAAUUAGUUUGGAGGUAAAAGUUGAACAAUAUGUGGAAUUGUUGAGCUUAAUGCUAGUAACCAAAGAAAUUAGAGCUGCAAACGAAAAAGAAAAUAUUAAGAAAAUAAUGGAUCAGGUAUUUUCUGGGGUGUGGGCCUACUGGUAGAAUGCUCUACCAGUACAAAUACAGCUUAAAGAAGGAAAACAACCAGUAAGGGUCAAACAAUAUCCCUUGAAAAAGGAAGACAGAGAAGGGAUCAGUCCAAUUAUCAAGAACGUUUUGCAGAUAGGACUAUUAAAAGAGUGUCAACCUGAUCUUAAUACUCCUAUUUUGCCUGUGAAAAAGCUUGAUGGGUCAUACAGGUUAGUACAAGAUUUAAGGG